AUGGGAUGAGCAGAAGGGGACCGUCUAGGUGCUGACCCUGAGGGAUCUGCAGGAGCACUCAUCUACUCCAUUAUUUUGCUGAUGAAGAAACAACUCCAGCGUUGCCCAUGGUCCCACAGGGGUCAGUCACGUGAUCGGCCACAACAGAGGGUUCCCCAUGACAGGGGAGCAUGCUUUGGAUCCUGGCCAGAAGCCAGAAGCCCCUUGAGGGCAAGGACCCCAUUUUACCCCAUUCCUCCCUGCUGUACCUAGCACAGGGCACAGCACAUGCUCAAAAAGUCCUUCCUGAGUAAAUCUUGCAUCCCUCAGUAGCUGCAGUCACCUGGGUGCUGUUCAUGCCGUCAUUCAUUUAUUCAGCAUUUAGUAAGUGCUGACUGUGUGCACCCUAGUAGGCUCUGGGACGCACAGUUGAAUAAGGCACAGUGCCUGCCCCUGUUGGCUUAUCUCCUGUUGGGGGUUUCAGGGGUUACCCCACAUUAUGGCCCAUGCCCCCAUAGUUUUUCUCAUUCCUCUGCCCAGCCUGGUACUUGCAGCCUGCUCUCUGCCCAUGCCGGAGGCUGAGCAGUCUGCUCCACUCCCGCCCCCAGGCCAUUCCCACUGCCUUCUUCUUUGCCAGACCAGACAACCCUUCCUCCCAAGCUGCCUCCCUCCCCUCCUCCAGGAAGCCCUCUUUGACUAAGUCCCCCAGCUGCUCUGCAGGCCCCAGUGCUGAGGUCUUGCGCUCUGCCCAGGUAUCUCUGGUUCUGUCUCUCUGUUUCUGUUUCCCCCCAUCAGCCUCUGGAGCUUCCCAAACACAGGGACUGCCUCCCCUCCAGCUGUUUUUCCUCAGGCCUAAAUAGACCAGAAGAGGCAGGAAGGGAGGUCGUGUGGUCAGCUCCCAGCACACAGGGCCUGCCUUGGGCCCUGGCCCCAGGAGCCCCUUAGAGAAAGAUUUCUCUGGAACUACCAGGGCACUGACUUAGUCUUGGCCCAAGACCCCUGAGCCCUGAUCUUCCACACUGUGCCUGGGGGCUCAGGCUGGGCACCAGCUGUUGGGUACCCACUCAGCUCCAGCCACCUUUGUGUUCGAAGGUGGGGACCUCAGUCUGCACUUCACCAACUCCUGGGCUUGGCCAUUUUACUGUCCCUGUGGCAAGUAGUCUACAGGUGAAAAAUGGUUCCAGGGAACCAACAUGCUGCCUCUUAUCUGCUGGGUGACUGAAGUUACAGUGCUAGGCCUCUCUGGGCCUCUGCUAAUGAUACCUGUCCAACCCAUCUCACAGGUAGUUGGGAGGACCAGAGACCAAGGAGAAGAAAGAGCCAAGCCCAGCUGUUACAGUUUGGAGUGCUUAAUGAAGACAUGUGCUAUUCCUGGUAGGAGUGAACCCAGCCAUCUUGUCAGAUCCCCAAACACCCUUUUAGGUGAGUACUUCAGAUGCUCACGUGGCUCUUGAUGGAGAGGAUCUGGGAUCGGAGCUUC